rnacentral:rRNA from 1 species
UACAGGAGGGGGCAAGCGUUGUUCGGAAUUACUGGGCGUAAAGGGCGCGUAGGCGGCCUGCUAAGUCGAACGUGAAAUCCCCGGGCUCAACCCGGGAACUGCGUCCGAUACUGACAGGCUUGAAUCCGGGAGAGGGAUGUGAAAUUCCAGGUGUAGCGGUGAAAUGCGUAGAUAUCUGGAGGAACACCGGUGGCGAAGGCGGCAUCCUGGACCGGCAUUGACGCUGAGGCGCGAAAGCCAGGGGAGCAAACGGG